AUACAUGCAAGUUCGAACGAACUCUGGUAUUGAUUGGGGCUUGCAAUCAUGAAUUUAACAUUUCGAGUGAGUGCCGAACUGGAGAGUAACACGUGGGAAACCUGCCCAGAAGCGGGGGAUAACACCUGGAAACAGAUGCUAAUACCGCAUAACAACUUGGACCGCAUGGUCCGAGCUUGAAAGAUGGCUUCGGCUAUCACUUUUGGAUGGUCCCGCGGCGUAUUAGCUAGAUGGUGGGGUAACGGCUCACCAUGGCAAUGAUACGUAGCCGACAUGAGAGGGUAAUCGGCCACAUUGGGACUGAGACACGGCCCAAACUCCUACGGGAGGCAGCAGUAGGGAAUCUUCCACAAUGGACGAAAGUCUGAUGGAGCAACGCCGCGUGAGUGAAGAAGGGUUUCGGCUCGUAAAACUCUGUUGUUAAAGAAGAACAUAUCUGAGAGUAACUGUUCAGGUAUUGACGGUAUUUAACCAGAAAGCCACGGCUAACUACGUGCCAGCAGCCGCGGUAAUACGUAGGUGGCAAGCGUUGUCCGGAUUUAUUGGGCGUAAAGCGAGCGCAGGCGGUUUUUUAAGUCUGAUGUGAAAGCCUUCGGCUCAACCGAAGAAGUGCAUCGGAAACUGGGAAACUUGAGUGCAGAAGAGGACAGUGGAACUCCAUGUGUAGCGGUGAAAUGCGUAGAUAUAUGGAAGAACACCAGUGGCGAAGGCGGCUGUCUGGUCUGUAACUGACGCUGAGGCUCGAAAGUAUGGGUAGCAAACAGGGAUUAGAUACCCCUGGGUAGUCCAUACCGUAAACGAGGAAUGCUAAGUGUUGGAGGGUUUCCGCCCUUCAGUGCUGCAGCUCCUAACGCAUUAAGUCAUUCACGCCUGGGGAGUACGGCCGCAAGGCUGAAACUCAAAGGAAUUGACGGGGGCCCGCACAAGCGGUGGAGCAUGUGGUUUAAUUCGAAGCUACGCGAAGAAACUUACCAGGUCUUGACAUACUAUGCAAAUCUAAGAGAUUAAACGUUCCCUUCGGGGACAUGGAUACAGGUGGUGCAUGGUUGUCGUCAGCUCGUGUCGUGAGAUGUUGGGUUAAGUCCCGCAACGAGCGCAACCCUUAUUAUCAGUUGCCAGCAUUAAGUUGGGCACUCUGGUGAGACUGCCGGUGACAAACCGGAGGAAGGUGGGGAUGACGUCAAAUCAUCAUGCCCCUUAUGACCUGGGCUACACACGUGCUACAAUGGAUGGUACAACGAGUUGCGAACUCGCGAGAGUAAGCUAAUCUCUUAAAGCCAUUCUCAGUUCGGAUUGUAGGCUGCAACUCGCCUACAUGAAGUCGGAAUCGCUAGUAAUCGCGGAUCAGCAUGCCGCGGUGAAUACGUUCCCGGGCCUUGUACACACCGCCCGUCACACCAUGAGAGUUUGUAACACCCAAAGUCGGUGGGGUAACCUUUUACGAACCAGCCGCUUAA
rnacentral:rRNA from 1 species